AUGCCAUGGUGUAGGCAUUCUCUUUGUAGGUCCUUACAUCUCUCCCAUGCAUCAUAGAGUGAUUCACCUUCCCUUUGUCUAAAGGUGUUGAGUUCAACUCUCAACUU